CAGACCUUUUUUGUAGGUGAAAUUCAAGAGAAAAACUGCAAAUGCUCGGCGCCAUCUUGUACGAACGAUGUGGUCUGGCGAACAGCUUGCCAAGGUGACCAUGCAGUACCUUUGAAUGUAUUUAAGGGUAAGUUGCAAGUCGGUAGAUUUGCUCCGCAGUUUACCGGAUACCAGCACGCUGCUUCGCGAGAACUACUCUACGUUGUUCUGGGGGACUUAGACGAACAUCUGAAUCCGAUUUUGAAGAAGUCUUGCAUCGAUGGACACUGACAAAAUAUAGGCAGAUUCGUAAUUAUAAAGAAUUAGGAAAGAAAAUUGACGGAGGCUCAGUGCCAAAAAAAAAUUAUGGUAGUUGGAAUGAUGACCGAAGCUCCUCGGAUUCGUUUAUUUCACGCGUUAUGGGGGUCAUGCAGAUGCUGUAAUCAGCAGAGAAGGUUGGAAGUGCGCUGCCCGGGAAGCAAAUUUGGGGUAAAAGAAAAAAACCUAUUCCAACUAGUAAGCGAUUUCCAAAUUCAACCAACAAAAAGGAAAAGGUAGAAGGAAAAAAUUCGUUCUCAGGUAGUUUUUUAGUUAAAAUCCUUUUUGUGCAAACUCAUUUUUGAAAUUGUUUACUUCAAGUUCGAAUGGUUCCGUUCACAUUUGUUGUUCAUGUGAGAUGUUAUAUUUACCAGUUACUGCAUUAUAUUUACCACUAUUGCAAGUCUGUUUAGGAAUUACUGUUUUGUUUAUCUGGAAUGUUGUGUGGGAGUCCAUCAGGAAUUGCUGAUCUGCAGUAAAUUUGUCAGGUAUAUGUUAACUUUCAUCAGCAAAAUGUUCUGCACUACUUGUGCUUGGUUUUCUUGGUAUAGGCUAGGUGAUGAAGAUUAAUGAAUCAGAAAAUGUUUUGCAUGGGUGGUGAAUGUUCUGACAGUUUUAACAGUUGUGAUGUGGUGUUUUCACUUCCACACAUCAUGUAGAAGUUGGUGACCUGAUACAAUGAACAUGGAAAAAUCACCUGUGCACACGUUGACGAUGAUACCUGUACCGAAGUGCUGGAAACUAAAAUUAAUUUUCUUUAUAAUUUGGUUUCAGGCUAUCUUUAUAAUUUUUUAAUAGUUUUGCGUUUAUUGAUGAGUCCGCAAGCUCUUAGCUGAUUUCCUCCUUUGGAUACCGCCUGUCGACGAUUUGACAGCCUCACACAAUUAAAGAACGCCAAAGUGAGCUCUUCCGAGCAGAAAAGUGACGGCGUAUCCAUUUAAUUGAAAAUAGGCACAAGAUAACGCACAAUUGGCGUCCUUGUCUCAAUGGAGAAAUUUUUCCAUGGAACUUAUUACCGAAAAACCAUUGCAGCUGUUCAAAAAAAAAAAGAAAAUUGUAUUAUCAUACAGAUGUUGACUAGCUAACAAUCUAGAGAUACGUCAACGUGCGAAAUUUCAAGAUGUGUGUGAAGCGCACUCAACAUCCUUGUUGAACUGU